UCCUUGCAGGAUGGGGUGAUGAGACGUC
rnacentral:piRNA from 1 species